GUGAAUGAUGGAAACGAAUGUGCUUUCUUAACUCACAUGGGCAAAGAUUCCAACUCUGCUCAUAACUUUUCUCAGCUAUGUCAUGAUAAUAUGAAAAAUAGUGUGACUCACAUCGACAAGGAAUGGUGA
rnacentral:rRNA from 1 species